rnacentral:rRNA from 1 species
UACGUAGGGUGCGAGCGUUAAUCGGAAUUACUGGGCGUAAAGCGUGCGCAGGCGGUGCUGUAAGACCGAUGUGAAAUCCCCGGGCUUAACCUGGGAACUGCAUUGGUGACUGCAGCGCUGGAGUAUGGCAGAGGGGGGUGGAAUUCCACGUGUAGCAGUGAAAUGCGUAGAGAUGUGGAGGAACACCGAUGGCGAAGGCAGCCCCCUGGGCCAAUACUGACGCCUCGAUGCACGAAAGCGUGGGGAGCGAA